rnacentral:lncRNA from 10 species
AUGGAUGAUGUUGAGAAAGGCAAGAUUUUUGUUCCAAAGGGUGCCGCCCAGUGCCACACCAUGGAAAAGGGAAGCAAGCACAAGACUGGGCCACAUCUCCACCGUCUCUCCGGGCAGACGACAGGUCAGGCUGCUGGAUUCUCUUAUACACAGAUGCCAAUAAGAACAAAAGCAUCACCUGGAGUGAGGACACACUGAUGGGGUAUUUGGAGAAUCCCUGGAACAAAAAUGGUCUUCACUGGCGGGACGGCAAGGGCAGACUUGAAAGUUUAUCUCAAAAAACCUUCUAAUGAG